AGAUGGGGUCUUCUUUUGUUGCCCAGGCUGGCCACAAAUUCCUGGGCUCAAGUGAUCCUCCCACCUCGUCCUUGUAGAGAUGAGAUUUAGUUAUGUCGUCCAGGCUGAUCUCAAACUCCUGGGCUAAAUCGAUUGUCUCACCUCAGCCUCUCAAGUAUGUUAUGAAGGUUAUAUGUUAGGAAGGGUCCCAGGAGGUAAACCCACACAGAUGGGAUUUGGGCAUAGGUUUGGUUUCCCAGGGGGCAGUGCUGAGCUCUUUGCCAGUGGGAAAUGGGAUGCUGGUGAUUUCCAGUAGGUGACCUCACAGUGACUCAAGCUACCACUUACUGUUGAUUGUGACGAAAUGCCAGCUGAGGCACAUGCCUUGGGAGCUAAGUGGUUGCUGCCCUUGACCACUGUGAAGACUGGUGUGGGAAGGGUCGUUUUGGAUGCACUUGAGCAGGGGUCCCCAACCCCUGAGCCAUGGAGCCGCAAGGAGCCACACAGCAGGAGGUGGGAACAUCCAGUUGCAGGAAAACAAGCUUAACACGCCCACUGAUUCUACAUUAUGCUCCUACCUCCCGGCAGCCUCUCCAGGCCCAGAACUUUCUCCAGUCAGCCUCUACAGACCAAGCUCAUGACUCUCAAUGGCCUAUUUAGGCCCAUACCCUACGUCACGGCAGCCUCCGCAGAUGAGGCUACUGCCUCACAACAGCCUCCACAGGCACAGCUCCAUCGUUACAAUGGCCUCUUUAGACCCAGCUCCUGCCUCCCAGCCUUCUCUCCAGGCCCUGAACUUUCUCAAGUUGACCUCACCAGGCCCAGCUCAUGCUUCUUUGCAGCCUCUCCAGGCCCAGCUCCUGCAUCUUGGUGGCCCCUCCAGGCCCAGCCUCUGCCUCCCGUCAGCCUCUACAGUCCCAACGUCUGCCUCACAGCAGAUUCUUCACGCCCAGCUUCUACCUCACUGUGGACCCCCCAAGCCAAGCUCCCAACCUUUCAGCAGCUUCUACACACCCAGCUCCUGCCACCCAGUGGCCUCUUUAGGCCAAGCUCAUGCUUCACAAGGGCCUUUCCAGGCCCAACUUUUGUCUCAUGGCAACCUUCCCUGGCCAGAUUCCUGCCUGUCUCCCAGCAGCCUAGACAGGCCCAGGUCUUGCCUCACACUGGCCUCUCUACAUCCAGCUUAUGCCUCACGGUGGCCUCUCCACGGCCAACUCCUGUCCCAGGACAUCAUCUCCGGGCCCAAAACUUACUCAAGUCAGACUCUCUAGUCCCAACUGCUGCCUCCUGGUGGCCUAUGAAGGCCCAAAAUCUCCUCAAGUUGACCUGUCCAGGCCCAGCUCCUGCCUCCUGUCAGCGUCUACAGGCCCAACCUCUGCCUCAUGGGGGCUUCUCCAGGCCCACCUCUUCCUCUUGGCUGGGUCUACAGGCACAACUGCUGCCUCACAACAGCCUUUUUUGGCCCAGUUCCUGUCCAGCUAAUGGCGGCCAAUGUAGGCCCAAAACUUCCUCAAGUCAAACUCUCCAGGCCCACCUUCUGCUUCCCGGUGGCAUCAACAGGCCCAGCUUUGACUUGAGAACAGCCUCUGCAGGCCCUGCUCUUGCCUCCCAGGGGCUUUUUCCAGGCCCAGCUCUUGCCUCAUGGCAGCUGCCCCAGGCCAAAUUUCUGCCUGCCUGCCAGCAGCCUCAACAGGCACAGCUCCUCCCUCACAGUGGCCCAUUUAGGCCCAACUUAUGACUGUGAGGCCAUUUCCAGGCCUAGUGCCUGCCUCGUGGCUGACUCUUGAAGCCCAAAACUUCCUCAAAUCAGGCUUUUGCCCAACUUCUGUCUACUGUCGGACUCUACAGGUCAGCCUCUGCCUCACAGUGGACCCUCCAGACCCAGAUGGUGUCUCACUGUGGCAUCCUCAGGUGAAGCUCCUGCCUUUCGGCAGCCUCUCCAGGCCCAGCUCCUCCUGCCUCCCAGUGGCCUCUUUCGGCCCAGCCCAGCUCAUGCCUCCCGGCGGCCUUCCCAAGCCCCGCUUUUGACUUUCGGUGGCCUCUGCAGGCCUCGACAAGGCCCAGCCUCCUGCCUCCCGAAGGCCUGCACAGGCCCAGCCUCUGCCUCACAGCGGACUCUCCACGCCCAGCUAGCUGUUGCUUCACUGCGGCCUCCCGAGUCCAAAGCUCCUGCCUCUCGGCCGCUUCGGCAGGCCCAGCUCCCGCCUGCCAGUGGCCUCUUCAGGCCCAUGGGGCUCAUUCCUGACAACGGCCUUUCCAGGCCCAGUUUUUCCCUUCCAGCGGCCUCUCCGGGCCCAGAACCUCCUCAAGUCGGCCUCUCCAGACCCACUUGCACCCUCCGGGCGUUCUCUCCGGGCCCAGCUCUUCUUCCUGGUUGGGUCUCCAGGCCCGAUUCCUGCCUCUCAACAACCUCUUUGGACUCAGUGCCUACCCAUCUCCUGGCGGCCUUGGUCGGUCCACAGCUUCCUCAAGCCAAGCUCCCCAGGCCCAGGUCAGGCCUCACGGUGGCCUCUCCAGGAUGAGCUCCUGCCCUCCGAUGGCAUCUCCAGGCCCCAAAUGGUCUCCGGUCGGUGGGCUCCUCCACGCCAAGGUUGGGCCUCCCGGCGACCGCCGCAGGCCCAAGUUGUCCUGAAGUCGGGCUCUCCCGGCCCUGCCUCCCAGCAAGUAAGCAAGCUCUUUUGGCUCAACUCCUGCCCAGCUCCCAACCGCCUUUGUAGGCCCCGAACUUUCUCCAGCCAAGCUCUGAGGGCCCACCUCCUGCCUCCUGGUGGCCUGUACAGUUCUAGCACUGGUUGGAGAACAGCCUCUGCAGGCCCCGCCCUUGCCUCCCAGGGGCCUCUCCAGGCCCAGCUCUUGCCCCCACGGCGGCCUCCCGGGGCCAAGUCCCUGCCUGCCUCCCAGCAGCCCGCGUGCGGCCCAGCUCCUCCCUCACGGUGGCCUGUUGAUGCCCAACUCAUGCCUCUGGCACCCUGCCCAGAGGCGUGAGCCCCUGCCUCACACUGGCUCCUCCCACGCUGAGAGAGGUCAGUGUGAGCCCUUGCCUCACACCGGCCCCUCCCACGCGGACAGAGGUCAGCGUGAGCCCCUUGCCUCACACCGGCCCCUCCCACGCUGAGAGAGGUCAGUGUGAGCCCCUUGCCUCACACCGGCCCCUCCCACGUGGACAGAGGUCAGCGUGAGCCCCUUGUCUCACACCGGCCCCUCCCACGCUGAGAGAGGUCAGUGUGAGCCCUUGCCUCACACCGGCCCCUCCCACGCGGACAGAGGUCAGCGUGAGCCCCUUGCCUCACACCGGCCCCUCCCACGCUGAGAGAGGUCAGCCCGAGCCCCUUGCCUCACACCGGCCCCUCCCACGCGGACAGAGGUCAGCCCGAGCCCCUUGCCUCACACCGGCCCCUCCCACGCUGAGAGAGGUCAGCCCGAGCCCCUUGCCUCACACCGGCCCCUCCCACGCUGAGAGAGGUCAGCCCGAGCCCCUUGCCUCACACCGGCCCCUCCCACGCUGAGAGAGGUCAGUGUGAGCCCUUGCCUCACCCCGGCCCCUCCCACGCGGACAGAGGUCAGCCUGAGCCCCUUGCCUCACACCGGCCCCUCCCACGCGGACAGAGGUCAGCCUGAGCCCCUUGCCUCACACCGGCCCCUCCCACGCGGACAGAGGUCAGCCUGAGCCCCUUGCCUCACACCGGCCCCUCCCACGCUGAGAGAGGUCAGUGUGAGCCCCUUGUCUCACACCGGCCCCUCCCACGCGGACAGAGGUCAGCGUGAGCCCCUUGCCUCACACCGGCCCCUCCCACGCUGAGAGAGGUCAGCCUGAGCCCUUGCCUCACACCAGCCCCUCCCACGCGGACAGAGGUCAGCGUGAGCCCCUUGCCUCACACCGGCCCCUCCCACGCUGAGAGAGGUCAGUGUGAGCCCUUGCCUCACACCGGCCCCUCCCACGCGGACAGAGGUCAGCGUGAGCCCCUUGCCUCACACCGGCCCCUCCCACGCUGAGAGAGGUCAGUGUGAGCCCUUGCCUCACACCGGCCCCUCCCACGCGGACAGAGGUCAGCGUGACCCCCUGCCUCAACAGGCCACCGUGAGGGAGGAACAGGAUCGCACUCGGGCUGCUGGGAGGUAGGCAGGGACUUGGGCCUGGGAGGUCGCGGUGGGGCGAGAGCUGGGCCUGGAGACUCCCCUGGGAGGCAACAGCGGGGUCUGCAGACACCCUUCUCCAGCCGGAGCUGGGACUGUUCAGUCACUGGGAGAAGGGAUGUGGGUCUGAAGAGCUUGGUUGCAGAAACUUUGGGGUCUACAAACGCAGGCGGGAGCUGAGCCAAAAGAGCUUGUUUGCUGGGAGGUGGGAGAUGCAGCCAGGAGGAACAGCUGGGCAAUGCGGGAGGCAGAGGCCAGGCCUCCUCAAGUUGGCCUCUCAGACCCACUUGCAGCCUCCCGGCGCCCCCUCCGGGCCCAGCUCUUCCUCCCGGCUGCAUCUCCAGGCCGGACUCUGGCCCGACUCCAGGUCCCAACAACGUCUUUGGACUCAGCUCCUGCCCAGCUCCCAGCGGCCCUGGUAGGCCCACAACUUCCCUAAGCCAAGCUCCCCAGGCCCAGCUCAGGCCUCGCGGUGGCCUCUCCAGGCUCAGCUCCUGGCCCUCCGAUGACAUCUGCAGGCCCCAAAUGGCCUCCGGUCGGUGGGCUCCUCUAGGCCCAGCUUGGGCCUCCCGGCGGCCUCCGCAGGCCCAAAUCGUCCCGAAGUCAGUCUCUCCAGGCUUAGCUCCAGCCUCCCGGCGGCCUCUGCAGGCCCAAGUCGUCCUCAAGUCGGCCUGGAAGUGGGCCUGGAAGAGCAGCAAGUCGGCCUCCCUGGGCCCAGCUCCGUCCUCUCGACGGCCUCUCCAGGUGCAAAACUUCCUCGAGUCAGCCUCUCCAGGCCCAGCUCCUCCUGCCUCCCAGUGGCCUCUUUCGGCCCAGCCCAGCUCAUGGCUCUCGGCGGCCUUCCCAGGCCCCGCUUUUGACUUUUGGCAGCCUCUUCAGGCGCAGAACUUGAUCUCCAGUCGGCCUUUGCAGGCCCGGCCUCCUGCGUCUCGAAGGCCUGCACGGGCCCAGCCUCGGCCUCGGCCUCACAGCGGACUCUCCACGCCCAGCUAGCUCUCGCCUCACUGCGGCCUCCCCAGUCCAAAGCUCCUGCCUUUCGGCCACUUCGGCAGGUCCAGCUCCUGCCUGCCAGUGGCCUCUUUAGGCCCAGCUCAUUCCUCACGUCGGCCAUUCCAGGCCCUGUUUUUCCCUUCCGGCAGCCUCUUGGCCUCUAAUUUGUUUAUCUUUUGUGUAUAAAUCCCAAAAUAUUGAAUUUUGGAAUAUUUCCACCAUUAUGUAAAUGUUUUGGUAGGUAAUUUAUUUGGAGUGAGUUUCUGCGCCAAGCCCGAAUUUUUUAUUUUAUUUUCCUUAUUAUUUGGUGUUAAACAGGUUUAAUGACGGUCAUGGCAACUUUUUGGCACAAUGAAAAAUAUCGCCCACGA